CGGGAGGUCAUGCCCUCUAGAGCGUGGGUCUCCACCCCAUCUCUGUCCUCAAGACACAUCCAAGUAAGGGCACAGUGACAAAGGCCACAAAGUAUGGGCCAUGAUCUAGAGAUCCACAGAAGGAAGUGGAUACCUAAGUCUUGGGUUGGGGAGAAUGCUCUGGGAUCACUGGUGGCAUCGCUGAACAUGCAGAGCCCAGGGCCUGCUCAUUCUGCUAGUGCAUCCUGUGUAUCUCAUGACAAUAAACAGCAACAACCAAUC
rnacentral:lncRNA from 1 species